rfam:Canis lupus familiaris chromosome 1, whole genome shotgun sequence.
AGGAGGAACAGCCCCAGUGGCGGGGCAGCUCUGGAAACCUGGAUUCAGCUCCGGCAGGAACUCCGGAGCUCUCUGUCUGCAGGGCCUGGAGGCUCCGGGGCGGG